rnacentral:rRNA from 1 species
GAUGAACGCUGGCGGCGUGCCUAAUACAUGCAAGUCGCGCGAAGCGGGGACGGGUGAGUAACCCGUGGAUAACCUCCUAUAAGACUGGGAUAACUUCGGGAAACCGGAGCUAAACCGGAUAAUUAUAGAUGGAUCCGCGCUGCAUUAGCUAGUUGGUAAGGUAACGGCUUACCAAGGCAACGAUGCAUAGCCGACCUGAGAGGGUGGUCUGCCACAUGGGAGCGGAGACACUGUCCAGACUCCUACGGUAGGCAGCAGUAGGGAAGUGUCCGCAAGGGGCGAAAUCCUGACGGAGCAACGCCGCGUGAGUGAUGGCGGUCUUCGGAUCGUAAAACUCUGGUAUUAGGGAAGCGGUACCUAAUCAGAAAGCCACGGCUAACUACGUGCCAGCAGCCGCGGUAAUUC